rnacentral:rRNA from 1 species
UUAAAAAGUUAAUUGUUUAAUCAAUUUAAUUUGAAAUUAAAAAUUUAUUUAAUAUAUUAUUUUUACUUUUUUAAAAAAAAUAAUUUAAGUUUUAUUAUUAUAAUAAGAAAAAAUUAGUUAUAAUUAUAGUUAAUUUGUAUUGUAAAAGAUUAUUUUUAAUUAAUUUUAAGAAAAAUUUAUUUUUUGUACCUUGUGUAUCAGGGUUUAUUAAAAUUUUAUAAAAAUUUAUUGUUCUCGAAUUUAAAAGAGUUAAAAAAUUAUUAUUAUUAAUGUAGAAUAAUUAUAUUUAAUAAUUUUUUAGUAAUGAAAUGUUAUUCGUUUUUAAAUAUAUCUAGUUUUUUAAGAAAAAAAUUAAAUUUUAUUAUUAUUAAUAUAAUUUUAAAUAUUUAAUAUUAUAUUUGUGAUAGUUAAUAUUUUUAGGGAUUAGCUUAAAAAUAAAUAUUUAUUAAAAUUUAAAAUUAAUUAUUUUUUAGGAUUAUAAAUUUUCAUAAUUUAAAGUAUGUUAUAAUUUAAUUAAAUUAUUUAAAAUUUUUAUUUUUUAUAAAUUAUAUAUUAAAAUAUAAAUUUAAAUUAAAUAAAUUUAGUAAUAAUGAUAAAAUUAGUAUAAUUUUUUAUAUAAAUAUAAAUUGAUUAUAUAUUAAUUAAAGGAAUUCGGCAAAUUAAUUUUCACCUGUUUAAUAAAAACAUGUCUUUUUGUUAUUAAUUUAAGGUUUAACCUGCCCAAUGAGAAUUUAAAUGGCCGCGGUAUUUUGACUGUGCUAAGGUAGCAUAAUCAUUAGUUUUUUAAUUGAAAGCUAGAAUGAAGGGUUGGAUGAAAAAUUAACUGUCUCUAAUUAAUUUUAUUAGAAUUUUAUUUUUAAGUUAAAAAGCUUAAAUAUUUUUAAAAGACGAGAAGACCCUAUAGAGUUUUAUAUAUUUAAUUUAUUAAUUUUUAGUAUUUAUUUUUUAUAAUAAAAGUAUAUUUAAUUGGGGUGAUUAAAAAAUUUAAUAAACUUUUUUUAUAAAUUUAUAUUAGUUAAUAAAUUAAUGAUCCAAUUAUUUUGAUUAUAAGGUAAAUUACCUUAGGGAUAACAGCGUAAUUUUAUUAGAGAGUUCUAAUCGAAAAUAAAGUUUGCGACCUCGAUGUUGGAUUAAAAUUUAUAUUUGGUGUAGAAGCUAAAUAAUUUAAGUCUGUUCGACUUUUAAAAUUUUACAUGAUCUGAGUUUAAACCGGUGUAAGCCAGGUUGGUUUCUAUCUUUAAAUAUGUAAAAUAUUUUAGUACGAAAGGACCAAAUAUU